AUGCACCCCAGGUUUCCGCAGAUCACUACCAUCAGAAUGAGGAGCUCCAGCCCUGCCUCGCUCCCCGGCCUGAUGAGGCUCCCUCCACUCUUUGCUUGCCUCUCCUGGCCAUUUUACCUACAAUGCACCUUGGACCGUGUCCUUUUCUGCCUUAAAACUCCUCGGGGCUCCCUGGGGUCCUCAGGAUUAAGCCCAGCUUCCUUAUUGAGACCUCCAGACUCUGGUUGGAGUCUCGCCGCCCUCUCCAGGCUACCCUGUCUGCACACCUCUGGGUGCAUGCUCUCUUGAUGUCUCCACACACUGGACAUUUGAGGAAGAAGCACACAUACCCAGAAACAGGGAGAUGGGGAGGGGGGACGAGAGAGAGAGAGAGAGAGGUGAGAACGCCUAUGCUGGGGAAAGAUGGGUUCUCAGCUCUUUGCCUCCAGCCCAGUCUUGCAUUGCUGGCCGGGUCACAUGUGCAGGGGGCUUCCUGCCCACCAGGGCAUCUGACACCGCAGCCUAGCCACCCAGCCACGCGGACCCUACGGGAGCAGGAAGUCAAGGCAGGAAGGAAAUCUUAGUAGGAAGGAGACUGUCCGGUGUGGGAUGCGGGAGGGUCCCAGGCAGGUGGGCGAGUUGUCAGGGGCCCUGUGUCUCUGUGCGGUAGAAGUGAGGCUGCCAGGCCGUGGAGUUGAGGCUGGGAGGGGUGCUGACCUCGACAGGUCUCAGAGGGCCGUCUCGUAGGAAGUGGGCUCGGAAAACCCUGGAGGCCUGCUGGGAGCGGCCAAGGCUGUGGUCAAGGGUGGGAACCUGGGGCGGGGUGAUUUCUUUCUGCAGCGUUGGGCAGCGUGCGAGCUGAAGCGCAGGUGGUGGCUGGGUUGACCCAGGAGUGAGCUUUCUCCUGAGAGUGCAGUGGAAAGACAAGGGUGCGGGAGACCCAGAGCACUGGCAAGUGAGUGGGUGAUGUGUGAGACCGUGCGUUCUCCAUGGGGUGGGAGAGACGGGCAGGCAGGAAGGGCAUGGGGAGCCUGCAAGGCGGGGGGGAAGUGGGCUGGCAACUGCAGAGGAGGCACAGAGACGGUAAAAGGGCGAGGGAGCUGGGGUCAGGGCUCAGGUCAGAGAGCCGGGCGGUGCUGCGGCUCUGGGUGCCGCGGGAGAACGCGGGCACAGGUGGUGGCUGAGGUGCGCUGCAGGGAGAUCGCUGGGGCACAAUGAGUCACCUGAAACAACAGGCAUUUGUUAUCCUUCCCAGGUACAGUACCAGCAGGAGGGCCUGCCGGUCUUGGCCAGGCUUGGCUGACCCAGGCUGGGCUCUCUGCUGUGUCUGAGCGCUGCUGUUCUCAGCCAGCCCCGCUCACAUGCCUGGGACAGGGGUGCCUGCCAUUAGCUGAGGCUUUAUGGGAGACCUGACACUGUGCCUCUCACCGCCCAGGUGAGGCCGGGAUUGAGGACGUGUGUGACGUCACUUCUUCCCCAUUCCAUUGGCCAAAGGGAUCCUGAGCCCUGUCCAAAAUGAGGAGGGGGAGAUGUGCGCCCCUCAUCUCAAUGACAGGAGUCACAGAAAGGUGGGCAUUUUCCAGUCUACUAUAGUUGAGGACCCGAGAGUCCCCCGGGGUUGGAUAAGCCAUCAGUCCCAAUGCUGGGCUCCUCCAGGACGUAGAUCAAGGUGGAAAGAGUGAGGGGAAAUUCGUCCCAGUGUACUGGAGGCAAUGGUACAGUAUGAGUGUCAGGAAGAUCCGAGGAAUCACAGGAAUGUGUGUGCACGUGUAUAUGUGUGUGUGCAUGUGUGUGGGUGUGUGUAUGUGUGUGUGCAUGCAUGUGUGUGUACAUGUGUGUGUGUCUGUGUGUGUGUGGUGCAGGAGAUGGAGAAGGAAGCCGACCUUCAGUGGGCAGGGUGGCGGGCCACUGACAACCCUGGCAGGUAGUUUGUGGUACUUAGCAGAUUCACAGCAUUAGCGAUUCCAUCCCUUUCUUUGCUCUGCCCCGUUCCCGCGGCUGGUAGCUGACAGAAGGUCGUGGCCCAUCAAGACGCUGCCCAGGGGAAGGUUGCUACAUCAGCUCUUUCUUAUUGACCGCACUGUCUUCACUUUCUUUCACUCAACAAGUAAUUAUCGAGCAUCAGUCAUGUGCCAGGCUCCGUGUGGGGGGCAGGAAAGAAGACACGGUCUCUGCCCUUGGGGAGCUCAAAAUUCAGAACUUAUAGCUGAGGUCUGUCUAUGCACACACAUGUGCUCACAUGCAUGUGUGUGCCCCCCCACAACACCUGCUCCUAUGGAGGCUUUGUGGAUUAAAAUAUAUAAAUACAUUUGUUAACAAAGAACCAAAACUUCAAGACUGGGCUGGCGCUGAGGCGUAGUAGGCUAAGUUUCCACUUGCAAUGCUGGCACCUAUAUGGGGGCUAGUUUAUAUCCCGGGUGCUCCUCUUCCAACCCAGCUCUCUGCUGUGGCCUGGGAAGGCAGCAGAAGAAUAUGGCCCAAGUCCUUGGGCCCUACACCUGCAUGGGAGACCCAGAGGAAGCUCCUGGCUCCUGGCUUCAGAUUGGCGCAGCUCUGGCCAUUGUGGCCAUUUGGGGAGUGAACCAGCAGAUAGAAGACCUCUCUCUCUGUCUUUCCUUCUCUCUGUCUGUAACUCUGCUUCUCAAAUAAAGAAAUAAAAUAUUUAAAAAAAAACCUUCA
ensembl:lncRNA